GAUGGGAUUUUCUCAUCUAGUGCUCCAGUUCACAUACUGCGAGGUACUAGCUUUGAUGAGAUCUGGUUUUCUGGAAAAAAAAAAAAAAGGGAGAAGGAACUUGGUGAAUAUUGCCCUGGGUCCUGGUAAUUCCACCUACUGAAGACAACUGCCCCUUCUGCUCAUAUUUCCUGAGUUAACAUGGCCGUUCCUAACUUUGAAGAGACUUUAGACAUUCUUUGUUACAAUGAGCCUAGAAGAAAGAAGAGAAAUAAUAACUGCCAUGGAAGGAUGCUCCUCCUGCCAAUUGGCACUUAUCAAUGACAUCGAGGGAGAGGGACAGAGUGCCUAGGUAUGAGCCUUCAUCAAGUGGUAUGAAGGCCCUACUCCAACAGAAAGUGCUGAUGUGAAGAAAUGGUGCUUUGGACAAGACUUUUCCUCCAAGUUGGUCCUAUCCAGGGGUUGGCAAACAGGGUCCCUGGACAUCAUCCCUGUUGUGUACUCUUAUGAAUAAAGUUCUAUAGGACAC
rnacentral:lncRNA from 1 species